GGAAUUUUGGACAAUGGGGGGAACCCUGAUCCAGCCAUUCCGCGUGUGCGAUGAAGGCCUUCGGGUUGUAAAGCACUUUUGGCAGGAAAGAAAUCGCACGGACUAAUACUCUGUGUGGAUGACGGUACCUGCAGAAUAAGCACCGGCUAACUACGUGCCAGCAGCCGCGGUAAUACGUAGGGUGCAAGCGUUAAUCGGAAUUACUGGGCGUAAAGCGUGCGCAGGCGGUUCGGAAAGAAGGAUGUGAAAUCCCAGGGCUCAACCUUGGAACUGCAUUCUUAACUACCGGGCUAGAGUGUGUCAGAGGGAGGUGGAAUUCCGCGUGUAGCAGUGAAAUGCGUAGAUAUGCGGAGGAACACCGAUGGCGAAGGCAGCCUCCUGGGAUAACACUGACGCUCAGGCACGAAAGCGUGGGGAGCAAA
rnacentral:rRNA from 1 species